rnacentral:misc_RNA from 1 species
GAAAUGCGAUAAGUAAUGUGAAUUGCAGAAUUCAGUGAAUCAUCGAAUCUUUGAACGCACAUUGCGCCCGCCAGUAUUCUGGCGGGCAUGCCUGUUCGAGCGUCAUUUCAACCAUCAAGCCCCCGGCUUGUGUUGGGGCCCUGCGGCUGCCCGCAGGCCCUGAAAAACAGUGGCGGGCUCGCUGUCACACCGAGCGUAGUAGCAUACAUUCUCGCUCAGGGCGUGCUGCGGGUUCCGGCCGUUAAACGACCUUCAUAACCCAAGGUUGACCUCGGAUCAGGUAGGAAGACCCGCUGAACUUAAGC